rnacentral:rRNA from 1 species
GAUGAACGCUAGCUGCAGGCUUAACACAUGCAAGUCGAGGGACCGGCGCACGGGUGAGUAACACGUAUCCAACCUGCCUUUUACUCGGGGAUAGCCUUUCGAAAGAAAGAUUAAUACCCGAUAUAAAGGAUGGGGAUGCGUUCCAUUAGGUUGUUGGUGAGGUAACGGCUCACCAAGCCUUCGAUGGAUAGGGGUUCUGAGAGGAAGGUCGACCACAUUGGAACUGAGACACGGUCCGAACGCCGACGGGAGGCAGCAGUGAGGGAUAGUGGUCAAUGGGCGCUAGCAUGAACCAGGCAAGUAGGGUGAAGGAUGAAGGCUUAUGGGGGGUAGACUUCUUUUAUAGAAGAAUAUGUAUUAUAUGAAUAAGGACCGGCUAACUCCGUGCCAGCAGCCGCGGUAAUUC